UUACAGAGAAAUUAUAAGGAAGACGUCAAGACGAGUCAAAGAGAGAGCACAGCAGGAAAUUCACCAGCAGGAAACUUGUGCAUCAUAAGCAAAAAGGCAGUGGUUGAUGACUUUAAUAUCACAUAAACCUUGAGGAGUGACACGUAACAGGAUGAAUCCAACCAUCCAACCAACCAUCUCUGUCCUCCAUCAUGAUCUAAACAUUACAGUGUGGCUUCAGCAGACCAGACUUGAUGUAAUGUCAUCAUCUCCAGCUUCAUGGACCAUUUGUAUGGAGACUGAGACACCCCUAUGGAAGAGAAGCAGUCUAAAACCAUAGACAUAUAUAUACGUAGAUGCCUCAUUACUUGCUGGAGUGUAAUCCAGCGUCGCUGCCAUAUUGAAUGGGUCUUCAGUCUCUUGGCUUGCACUAGAGUCAAAUGGAAUCAAUGGAGAAUGAGCAACUAUGCCAGUAUUUUGUGCACCCUACAGUUGUAAAAAAACAACGUACUGUAGGACUACAUUUAAAAAGUCUGAUUAAAAAAUAUUUUUUUUCUUAUUUUAAUGUGUGAAAGCAUCCUGUAUCAUUGCUACGUCUCUGCUGUUUGUAACAAAUUGAACUGUGUGAACAUCGUGUUAUGAGGUAUGAUUAAUAACUCAUAUGAUUUAUAUAGUCGGGCAUAUCUGCUUACCUGGUAUCACUUCUAUCUCCUGCCCUCUGACUUCACUGAUUCAUCAGCUGUAUUUCUCCUCCAGUGUCUCCUCUGGUUUCUAAUAACUGCAGUUAGAUCAACUACAGCUCAACGUUUAUCGGCUUCAUCUCCAACAUCAUAAGCUCAGAAUCAGUCACUAUGUUUCCUGUGCACAAACAAGCAAAGAUUGCAUCAGAGUCAGAAACUGGUGAUAAGACUUGCAUUUAGGCAAAAUAUUACAGAGCAGUUCAGACACUACGAGUUUGUAGAGCACAGUGAGAUGUGAAGGUAAUUAUGGUCACAUAUAAGCGGUCUGAAUUUGUUGGCGUACGUACUGAAUAAAUGUACAUAAACUAUCGAUUUUGUCGAUUAAAACUCUGUUUCUAC